rnacentral:rRNA from 1 species
ACGGGAGGCAGCAGUGGGGAAUAUUGGGCAAUGGGCGAAAGCCUGACCCAGCAACGCCGCGUGAAGGAUGAAGGUCUUCGGAUCGUAAACUUCUGUCCUUGGGGAAGAUAAUGACGGUACCCUUGGAGGAAGCCCCGGCUAACUACGUGCCAGCAGCCGCGGUAAUACGUAGGGGGCAAGCGUUAUCCGGAAUUAUUGGGCGUAAAGAGUGCGUAGGUGGUUACCUAAGCAGGGGGUGAAAGGCAGUGGCUCAACCACUGUUAGCCCCCUGAACUGGGCUACUUGAGUGCAGGAGAGGAAAGCGGAACUCCAUGUGUAGCGGUGAAAUGCGUAGAUAUAUGGAAGAACACCAGUGGCGAAGGCGGCUUUCUGGACUGUUACUGACACUGAGGCACGAAAGUGUGGGGAGCAAACAGGAUUAGAUACCCUGGUA